rnacentral:rRNA from 1 species
UACGAAGGGGGCUAGCGUUGCUCGGAAUCACUGGGCGUAAAGAGCGCGCAGGCGGUCGAUCAAGUCGAGUGUGAAAGCCCCCGGCUCAACUGGGGAGGGUCAUUCGAUACUGAUCGACUCGAAGGCAGGAGAGGGUAGUGGAAUUCCCGGUGUAGUGGUGAAAUGCGUAGAUAUCGGGAGGAACACCAGUGGCGAAGGCGACUACCUGGCCUGUUCUUGACGCUGAGGCGCGAAAGCUAGGGAGCAACAGGG